rnacentral:rRNA from 1 species
ACUCCUACGGGAGGCAGCAGUGGGGAAUAUUGCACAAUGGGGGAAACCCUGAUGCAGCCAUGCCGCGUGUGUGAAGAAGGCCUUCGGGUUGUAAAGCACUUUCAGUAGGGAGGAAGGUAGUGUAGUUAACACCUGCACUAUUUGUACGUUACCUACAGAAGAAGCACCGGCUAACUCCGUGCCAGCAGCCGCGGUAAUACGGAGGGUGCGAGCGUUAAUCGGAAUUACUGGGCGUAAAGCGCAUGCAGGCGGCCUGUUAAGUCAGAUGUGAAAGCCCGGGGCGUUAACCUCGGAAUUGCAUUUGAAACUGGCAGGCUAGAGUCUUGUAGAGGGGUUAGAAUUUCAGGUGUAGCGGUGAAAUGCGUAGAGAUCUGAAGG